rnacentral:precursor_RNA from 1 species
CUACACAAUGAUACUGAUGAUUGUAUUGUAGUUAAUUAUUGUUUUAAUGGUAGACGAUGUACCCGUUAACAGUAAUAUGUUCAUGAUGACUUUAUCAAUAUCAAUAUAUAUAUACCGACUUAAUCUUAUGUAAAUACUCAUAGGUAGAGGUGUGCAUAUGUGCGUUUACAGGAAUGAGCAUAAGCGCGUUAUGAGAACAUGCAUUACUAUUGGUUCCGAAAGAAAUUAAUAAAACAGUAGAUAUUUUCCCAAAGAAUUAAUUCCAGUAUAAAAGAAAAGGUAAACUUGAUAUAGCAAGUGUUAAAGUGGCCACAAGAUAAGACAAUGACAUUUUAAAGCAAAACUGGAAUCAACCGAAUUGUGUAAUCGAGGAAGAGAACAUACCUACACCGCGCUAUUUAGGAGACCUUUUGGCAAGAGAAAAUAAUCAACAUAUACAUAAUCAACCAGAGAGUCCCGGCAGGGGCGACCUGAGAACACACGAAAGACCAGACCGCCUCAUCACCGUGUGUUCCCAGCUCGCCCCUGUAGGAACUCCCUCGCGUUCCAUCUCUCUGUCUCCAUCGCCGCUGCCGAUGCCGAUAACGAUGCCGAUUCCGAUUCGUUCCCUCCCCGCUCUCAGCUGCAAAAAUCUCCGGGCCUAAUUAACCUUUGCUGAUGACCGGAUUAAUGAUGGAGGCUGCGUUUGCCUGGCCAAAACGCAGGCAAAGCGCUCACGUAUUAUAGACUCCUUUCCACGGGGUCGGGAGGAGGAUGGCAUCGAUUGGCGUCGUACUUUUUGCUGCUCCAUCGCUGGGAAA